rnacentral:rRNA from 1 species
GAUGAACGCUGACAGAAUGCUUAACACAUGCAAGUCUUUGGCGAAGCUGUGCUUGCACAGCCUAGCCAAGGCGGACGGGUGAGUAACGCGUAAGGAACUUGCCCUGCAGUCAGGGAUAACAGACGGAAACGACUGAUAAGACCUGGUAAAGUCAGGCGGACUCAUGUCCAGCCUGAUGAAAAGAGAUGCUGCAGGAGAGCCUUGCGUCCUAUUAGCUUGUUGGUGGGGUAACGGCCCACCAAGGCGAUGAUAGGUAGCCGGCCUGAGAGGGUGGACGGCCACAAGGGGUGUGAGACGCGGCCGUUACUCCUACGGGAGGCAGCAGUGGGGAAUAUUGGACUAUGGGGGCACCUCUGAUCCAGCAAUUCUGUGUGCACGAUGAAGGUUUUCGGAGUGUAAAGUGCUUUCAGCAGGGAAGAAAAAAAUGACGGUACCUGCAGAAGAAGCGACGGCUAAAUACGUG